rnacentral:rRNA from 1 species
UACGGAGGGUGCAAGCGUUAUCCGGAUUCACUGGGUUUAAAGGGUGCGUAGGUGGGCUAGUAAGUCCGUGGUGAAAUCUCCAAGCUUAACUUGGAAACUGCCGCGGAUACUAUUAGUCUUGAAUGUUGUGGAGGUAAGCGGAAUAUGUCAUGUAGCGGUGAAAUGCUUAGAUAUGACAUAGAACACCGAUAGCGGAGGCAGCUUGCUACACAAUGAUUGACACUGAGGCACGAAAGCGUGGGGAUCAAACAGG